rnacentral:rRNA from 1 species
AUUUUUAAGUUAUUAUUAAAUUUAUAUUGUAUAAAAUAUUUUUUAGUUUUAUUAUUAUUUUUAGAAAAAAUUAUUAAAAUUAUAGUUAAUUAGUAUAGUGAUAGAAAUUUUUUAAAAUUAAAAAAGAAAAGUUGAUUAUUUGUACCUUGUGUAUCAGGGUUUAUUAAUUAAAUUUUAAAUAUUUAUAUUUCUCGAUUUUGAAAGAGUUAAUUAUUUAUAAAUUUUAUUGUUAAAUAAAUAUUUAUAAUAAAUAAUUAGUAAUGAAACGUUAUUCGUUUUUAAAUAUAUCUAGUUUUUAAAGAAAAAAAUUUAAUUUUAUUUAUAUAGAGAAUUUAAUUAUUUAAUAAAUAAGGUUUUUAUAUAAAUUAUAUAAUUUGGGAUAAGCUAAAUUAUAGAUGUUUAUAAAUUAAUAAAUUUUAUUUUAAAAUUGUAGAAUUAGAAAUUUUCAUCAGUUAAUUUGUUAUAAUUAAUUUAAUUUAAGAAAAGAUUUAUAUUGAUUUUAAGUUUUUUAUUUAAAUUUUAAGAUUAAUUUAUUAUCUUAAGUAAUAAUGAUAAAAUUAGUAUAAAAUUAUGUAGUAUUAAUUUAAUAAAAAAGGUAAUUAAAAGGAAUUCGGCAAGAAUAUUUUUCGCCUGUUUAAUAAAAACAUGUCUUUUUGAUUUUAAUUUAAAGUCUAGCCUGCCCAAUGAGAGGUUGAAUGGCCGCAGUAUUUUGACUGUGCAAAGGUAGCAUAAUCAUUAGUUUCUUAAUUAGAAGCUGGAAUGAAGGGUUGAACGAGAAAAUAACUGUCUCUUAAUUAAUUGUUUAGAAUUUUAUUUUUAAGUUAAAAAGCUUAAAUAUAUUUAAAAGACGAGAAGACCCUAUAGAGUUUUAUAUAAUUAUUUUAAUAUUUUAGUUUGAAUUUUUUAAGUAUUAUAAAAAUUUAUAUUUAAUUGGGGUGAUUGAAAAAUUUAAUAAACUUUUUUUUUAUUUAACCAUUAAUAAAUGAAUUAUUGAUCCAUGCUAAUGAUUAUAAGAUUAAAUUACCUUAGGGAUAACAGCGUAAUUUCUUUGAAGAGUUCUAAUCGAUAAAGAAGUUUGCGACCUCGAUGUUGGAUUAAAAUAAAUUUUUGGUGUAGUAGCUAAAAUAUUAGGUCUGUUCGACCUUUAAAAUUUUACAUGAUCUGAGUUUAAACCGGUGUGAGCCAGGUUGGUUUCUAUCUUUAAUAAUGUUAUAUAUUUUAGUACGAAAGGACCAAAUAUAUAUAAAAUUUAUUAUAAAUUGAUUAUCAAUAAUAU